rnacentral:rRNA from 1 species
UACGGAGGGUGCAAGCGUUAAUCGGAAUUACUGGGCGUAAAGCGCGCGUAGGUGGUUAUUUAAGUCAGUUGUGAAAGCCCAGGGCUCAACCUUGGAAUUGCAAUUGAUACUGGGUAACUUGAGUACAGUAGAGGAGUGUGGAAUUUCAGGUGUAGCGGUGAAAUGCGUAGAGAUCUGAAGGAACAUCAGUGGCGAAGGCGACACUCUGGACUGAUACUGACACUGAGGUGCGAAAGCGUGGGUAGCAAACAGG